ACCCUCUCUCCACUCGGGCCUGUACAGCUUACAGUGCGUCAGCCAAGCUGAGGGUCAGAGCCCCGGUCAAGAGCAGUGUGUGUGGGUGGUCUGAGGAGAGCUGGAGGCAUCAAGACCACGGCUUCACCACGAACGCCAGUAACGCGUGGAUCCAGAUGUCCACGGCGUCAACUAAGUGGGUGGGAAGAACAGGCUCGCAGAUACGGCGUGACGUGCUGCUAACGUAUGCAAAUAGUGGAACAGGUGUGAAUGCCUCCCGCGCACAUGGAUGUAGGACGGCGGACGGGUGAAGGCAACGCCCACGGGGGCGGGGCUGACGAUCGAAACGCCCAUGGGGGCGGGGCUGACGACCGAAACGCUCCGAUUGGAUGUUUUUUGUUUUCUUUUGUUUCACUGUACUUUAUGAUUUACUACAUAAAUCAGAUAACAUUAAAACUAAAUUCCAAGGAGCCAUAAGAAAGAUUUGAAAGUCACAGUUAAAAGCUACAUACUUUGUAAAAUCGAUCCAUGAAGCUUGGUUUUUAUCUUCAUCCACUCAUAUAAUUAGAAAGCUUGAUACACAUCAACUCAAGUUUACUGUUUAAAUUUAUAGUAUCCAUAAUAAUAGUGAAUCAUUAGAGUAGACCAACCAUGGUAAUAAAUAAAAUUGUCUAAUUAAUUUUAAUAACUCGUUAGAUUCCGUUCCAGUAGCACAAGUAAAUUCAGCGCUUAUCAUUUCAGGUGUUGCAUUCAAACAAUGAGCGAAUUAAGUGUUUAGUAAUAAGAGGUCAUUAACCUAAGCAGUACGCUAUCCCGUUAAAUUCUGAACCGAACCAGACUGCAGCAUGGACACGGUAUUAACGAUCCUGAGGGCUUUUCUCAACCAAUCGCGCCAUCUACUGUGCGAGAAUAUGAGGCAACACUGUCAAUUCCACGUAUCUCAGAUAAUCUUUAAUUACAUUUGCACACAAAUAUACUGCGGGUAUUAAACACGAAUGGGACGUCAAUUGAACACUUUUCUAUAUUUAUUCAGUCACAACAGGGACAGCAAUUCAAAGAGUAAUAGAGCCUCACUGGCAGUAGAUAAGUAGAUUUUACAUGCUAGAGAAAGUCAAGAACUGUAACCCUCAACACUUACAAAAUAUGUGCAUUACAAGUGAGUACUCACAAUACUUUUGCAAGGAGCUUUUAUUUGAGCUUAUACAGUUUGUUGUGUUUAAUUGUACAUAACCUCCUAUGCGUUACCAUAACCUAAGAGAAGAAGGAGCACAAGUAUCUAUUAUUAUUACUAUUAUUAUUACUAUUAUUAUUAUUAUUAUUGUUGUUGUUGUUCCUAUACAAACAUUCCAACUGUUAAAAUGUAUUAAAUGACAUGGUAUGAUGGUCAGUUUUAACAGAGUGAAUCAUGAAUUUCUUGCUAAUAAAGUUACCAGGCGAAAUCCUUUUUGAACAUUCAGUUAAAAUGAUCAGUACCUAAAUAAUACACCACACAUUUCAGGUUUAAACAUAAGUCAAGAUGUUAAGAACAAAUAAAUUACUGGCUGUGCUGGCAAUCUCUUCAGACUCUGGUGUGUCUGAAUCCACUAACCUAGUGACCUACACUGAUCCCUGAUCUAGUACAGCCGGUCUAAACCUUGGUGUUCAUAACUAUUCCUAUUUGCUGUAACUACAUAAGAUUGAGGUCAUUGUUUCAGAGUUAGAAAACCAAAGCACUAUUCUAUCUGUGCAGACAUGUCAGAGCGAGUGCAUAUCACCACGGCACUUAUCCGGACUACUGUGCAGAGCAGUGCGUGUGCAAUGUGGAAUCCAGACCACCCAAUGGGAGCACAGGCACAUGCUGUAGUCCGGUAAUGGUACCAUGGAACUUAUUUUAAACUAAACACGGCAUUCUCAAUACACCACUGAGGUAAAUGUAUGACAACUUGAGAAGGAGAUAAAACACCUCAGACAAACCCUCAGAUGAGGGAUUAAAACUGAAAUGAAGCUU